UGUGGGGUCUGUGUGGGGAAGGAAGGAGCUGGGAGCCUGGGCUGCCUGUGUGUCGGCUGGAUGCUGCCAGCACCGGCAUGGACCAAGCAACUUCUCUGAGCCAGAUGCUGGGGACGCAGAGGUGAACCCAGAGACAUGAUCCCAUCUGCUCAGAUCUUCAUGUCAGAACACGCUUUAUUACAGUCUCGGCAAGGGGGUGAGCUCCUCGUCCUGGGAGCAGUGUGUGUGUGUGUGUGUGUGCGUGUGCACAUGUGUGUGCAUGCCUGUGUGUGUGUGCAUGCGUGCAUGUGUGUGCGCGUGUAUGUGUGUGUAUGCGCGCGUGUGUGUGUAUGUUGGGGGUGGUGGUGUGCAGAGAU
rnacentral:lncRNA from 1 species